CGCAGGGCCACUCCGAGCCUUCCCUGACUUAGGGUCGCAGACUUGGCCCCAGCGAGCUACUCAUUCCGCAUGUGCCAGCCCAUGAGGGGGCUGCAUUCACUCUCGCGGGACAGGCGCAGGUGUGUGGGGCAUUGCAAACACACACACACACACACACACACACACACACACACACACACACACACACACACACACACACACACACACACACACGAGACACUCAGUGAAAAAGAUCACCCAUUCCGGGCUACAGGCUACAGACACAUGCAGUGGUGACAGAUUCUGUGGCACGGUGAGCCUCCCCAGGAUGUGCAUACACACAAGAAACACAGGUUCUCAAGAAUGCCCAGGGCACAGUCUUCCGUGCUGGGCCCAACAGAACCCAUAGCCGUAGAAGUCAUCUGGGGAAUGAGGAUAUGAACUCCUCAAAAACCCCCUCCUUUGUAGAUGCAGGUGGGCAAGCCACAGGAUUACCUCCUCAGGAAGUCAGGUACAGGCUGUUUACAUCCUAGCAGGACAAGUGUACCCUGGGCUGUCCCAGGACACUGCUGGGACAGUUUGCUCACUUUCUGUCAGGUCACAUGCAAACAGGACCUAGGCCAGGCUCCUCACUCAGUCCCUGAGUGACUUGAAAGACCCAAAAGGACAGACUGGGUGAGGACUUGGACCAGGGCAUGGUCAGGAUGGACAGAGGGAAGCAGGCCAGGGAAGAGAUCUCCUGGGGUGAUGGUUGAGUUUGGGUGUAAAGGCUAGGUGCUGCCUGGCCCACACUUGUGCCUCCUGUGGUGGCCAGGCAACUAAGCAAAUCCCUGCUGCCUCUCUGGGAACAGCUGUGCUGGGAACAGGCUGCUGCUUGUGCAGGUGCGGCUCCAUAAGCCCUGGCCUGGUGUGGAUGGAAUCCUGUUUACUCCGGUUUUCACUGAGUCUGUGUGGGAGAGGCUUAUCAGUUUUAGCUGUGUCCCUCUAUUGUCAAGGUUCUCAACACGUGGGUUGUGACCCCUUGGCGGACCCUUUCACAGGGGUCACUUUCAAUCAUGGGAAAACACAGAUAUUUUUAUAUAUGACGAUUUAUAACGGUAGGAAACUUACACUUAUGAAGUAGCAAUGAAAAUAAUUUUACGGUUGGGGGUCACCAUAACACCAGGAACUGUACUGAAGGGUUGCAGCGUUAGGAAGCUUGAGAACCAUUGCUCUAUUGAGUCUAAUAUGAGAGUGUCAACCACUAGCUAUAUGCAAGGUGAGUACUGGAGCUAGGAGAGGAGAGGGCCUUCCCUAUCGCUCUUAGUUGCAUCAUUCAGGUGGGGUCAUUUGAGCCCCUGAGUCUCAGUCUUCUCAUCUGUGAAAUGGGACUAAUUCUGAUUUCCCAGCAGUGUGGUGAGGCCCUACAUUAGCCUUGACAAUGACAAGAUGACAGGCAUGAGGGACUUCACAAAACUGGAUUUGUUUUCUUUCUUCCUGUAAGAGACUAGAUUCACUGGUUUAAAAAAAAAUGGAGAAUUAUGUGGUUUCUUUUUCCUCUUUUUGGUUUUCCUGUUUUCUUUGUGGGACUGUGAAUUGAACGAGGUCUCUCUCUCUCUCUCUCUCUCUCUCUCUCUCACACACACACACACACACACACACACACACACACACACACACACACGGCACACUCUAACCAAGCUCUGGAGUUUUUAUUCUGAGAAAGGAUUUUGCUGCAUUGCCCAGAAGGCCUGAACUCAUUCUGAGGUUGAUCUUGAAUUUAUGUCUAGUCCUCUUUAUACUUCUUAUACUGAGACAAGGUCCCACUCAUUUGCUCAUGCUGGCCUUGGACUCACCCUAACCCAGGCUGACCUUUAACCUCUGACCCCUCUGCUUCCGCCUCUUGAGGUCUAGAUUAUAGCCUGCUCCCAUGGGCCUGGCUUUCCUGCUUGAGUGAUUGAUCACCUCCUAUCUUUGGAAACCACGUCCUCCUCUGCCAAUCACACCCCAGCCAUCAUUUCGCCCAUUCUUUUACUGUCCAGCGUGGAGCCGGAGGUCCCAUUUCACUCAGGAAAUUGAGGCCCAGGCACAGAGAUCAGAUCAGGGGGACUGGUGGUUGCUGAGAACUGCAAUUAAGACCUAACAGAGAGUGAAUAUGGUAGUAAAUUCCAGUACUCAGGAGACAACAGCAGAAAGAUUGUCACAUGUCUGAGGGUAGCCUGGUCUAUACAACCAUGAGUUCUAGACCAACCAGAGCUAUCCAGCAAGACCCCUUUUCGGUUCUUUUUUUUUUUGGAGCUGGGGACCGAACCCAGGGCCUUGCGCUUCCUAGGCAAGCGCUCUACCACUGAGCUAAAUCCCCAACCCCAAGACCCCUUUUCAAACAAUAACUCCCCCUACCCAUGUUUCCAUUCCCCCUUCUCUUGCCUCUCCUUCUUCACCCCUGCAGAGCUGAAGAGACUCAGAGUGGAGCUGGUUGCACAGACUCUUUCAAAGGCCCUCUACAAAUAAAAUAGACUUCCAUCCCACCUUGAUGGAUGCUUAUGAAUAACGCAGAUUCCAGGGCCCCACCUCGCACCCACUGACCCGGAAUAGGCACCACAGAGGCUGAGGCUGGGGGAUUGCUUGAGCCCAGGAGUUCAAGGGCAGCCUGGGCAAUACGGAAAGACCAGUUUUUAGCAACCCCAACGGUACUGGGUGUGCUGGCUCAUGCCAGUCAUCCCAGCACGAGGGGCGUCGGACAAGAAGACCAGGGAGUUAAAGCCAUCCUUGGCUACGGAUCACACGGGAGGCCAGCCAGAGUGAUGAGACCCUGUUUUUGUUUUUGUUUUUGUUUUGUUUUGUUUAAAUUAUGAGAACGGGGAAUGUCUUAAUUAGGAUUUUAUUGCUGUGAAGAGACACCAAGACCAUGGCAACUCUUAUAAAGAACAACAUUUAACUGGGGCUGGCUUACAGUUGAGAGGAUUAGUCCAUUAUCAUCAUAGCAAGAAGCAUGGUGGGCCUGCAGACAGACAUCGUGCUGGAGAAGGAGCUGAGAGUUCUCCAUAUGGAUCCAAAGGCAGCAGGAAGAGAGGCAUUGGACCUGGCUUGAGCUGCUGAGACCUCAAAGGAAGGCCAUACCUACUCCAACAAGGCUACACCUCUAAUACUGCCCCUCCCUAUGGGUCUAAGGGGGCCAUUCCGUUCGAGUUACCAUGGAGCUGUGGUUAAGUGGUACAGAGCUUUAACGUGCUGAAGAAAACAGUUUCACAAAUAACCUCGACAGUUGCACAACCUUUGAUCCUGGUUAGCGCUGCUGAAAUACACACUUAUGUUAAAAUGGAGGGCUGUGGCAGUGGCCCACUGUCAGAGGGUGGGCCUAGUAUUCAGUAGGUAGGUCCUGGGUUGGAACCACAGCAACCCACUGAGGUGCUUAAAAUGAAAAAACUCUAUAUUCUAUAUUUUAAUACUUGAAAAUAAUUUCAAAUGUAUUUAAAAUCUUGGUAUAAUAUUCUUCUUUCAUCCUAUUACAUUCUCCCAAGGCAAGGGUUGUCUUGGUUUGAGUCUAACCCUCUACACAUUUACUUUAUAUUUAUUUAUUAUGUAAAGAAAUAAUAUCUGGUAUUGUUUAUGUGGUUCAGAACUUUAUACAAGGGCUAUCAUACUAUACAUGUCCUCACUCAACAUUCUUGGUAUGUGCAUAUAUGCGUGCGUAUGUGCACAUGCAUGUGGAAGCCAGAAUGCUGGCAUUACAGGCAUGUUGCACAGUUCAGAGAAUAAUCCACAAUAUCUUUGGUUUUGAAUAAAUGAGUUACUAAGUAUAUAGCAAGCCAAGGUAAAAUGUUCCACAGGAAUUAUUUACCUGUGUUCUUUGAGACAGAGUCUCUCUCUGGGAUGUAGGGUUUGCAAAUAGGCUAGGCUGUUGGCCAGUGCGUCCCAGGGACCUGCCUGGCUCUAACUCCCUAUCACUGGCAUUAUAACUGCAUAUCUCGGACUGGAGAGAUGGCUCAGUGGUUAACAGCAUCAACUGCUCUUCCAGAGGUCCUGAGUUCAAAUCCCAGCAAACACAUGAUGGCUUACAACCUUCAUGUAAAUGAGAUCCGAUGCCCUCCUCUGGUGUGUCUGAAGACACCUACAGUGUACUUAUAUAUGAUAAAUAAAUAAAUCUUUUUAAAAAACUUUGAAAAAAAAAAACCCCAACAACUGCUUAUCACUA